AAAAACAAAAAAAAAAAAACCCUUUUCUCUGUUUCUUGUUUUGUUUAUUUAUUUAUUUUUGAUAUUUUUCUUGCUUAUGCACUAUACAACCAGAGUUUUUCUACUGAGGGGCACAAAUAUUUAUAUGAUCUUUGUUAACAUGACAAUGAAGCAUUUCAUAGAAAUAUUUUUUCCUGCCUGGGUUGCCUGGGUUUAAAUCUAUUCAAAAUAUUUUUUUCAAAACCUUUUUUUUUUUUGACAAUUGUUCCAUUGAAUUUUGGGAGGAUUUCGUUUCUAUUCAUGUCGAAGUUGUUUGUAUUUCACUACAGGUCGAGUGUUCAGAUUCUGUUAAUUAUGCAACAAAUUUCAACUUUUAUGGCACCCAAUUCUUCUAAUUUUCAUAUCUGCAAUACAACAAAUGAUGCUGGUCAUAAAAGCUAAGGAUGGAGUCAUUUUGACAGCCCUGUUUUGUUGUUGGCCUGAUCAAUUAAACAUUGGUGUUUGGACUUUCUACAGCCAAUUUAUUGUUGAUGUAGCUAAUCACCAUUAUUUACUAAUAUUGAUUUUUGCCAAUUUGCCAUAUGGACUUUUGAUUUCUCUGUCUUGUUUAGAAACAGUAGUCAUAUCAUUAUGUAAGACACUGGAUUCAUAAUGGUUAAGCUAUGCCAACAUAUUUUCAUUUUUGUUUCUUGCAGAUACAUGAUAACAUCAAUCUUUUAAGCAAAACUCGAGACAACAUCCUCUCUAUCUUGAACGACUUGAAUGACAUGCCGGAGAUAAUGAAGCAGAUGCCUCCGCUUCCAGUGAAGGUGAAUGAAGAGCUUGCCAACUCCAUCCUUCCCCCAUCAUCUCAUCACAUGAAAUCAUGACAUUAUGUGUUUGCUGAUUGAUCAAGUCUCUGACCUUUGCCAACAAGUUGGGAUCUCUCGGCUGAAUCUGAUCAAAUAAGCUACACACUUGAUUCGAGUUCUUUUGUAGAUUUGGAAAUACAUUUUAAAAAAUCAUCCGAGAGGGAGGCGUGUUGGUUAUUUAUUAACAUUCAAUUUAAUCUGUAUUGGUUGGGGUAUUAUUUUUAGGAAAUCAGUUGUAGUAAAUGUAGGCUUUGUUUGUCAAAGGAAAAUAAUAAAUAGUUGGUGAAUUUCCUGUAAAAAUUAACAACUCAAAGAACAAAUGAUAAGAUUAUUCACUUCCAAAUGCAAUUCAAUGGAGCAAUAACUUGUUUCA